rnacentral:rRNA from 1 species
UACGUAGGUGGCAAGCGUUGUCCGGAUUUACUGGGCGUAAAGGGAGCGUAGGCGGAUACUUAAGUGGGAUGUGAAAUACCUGGGCUUAACUUGGGUGCUGCAUUCCAAACUGGGUGUCUAGAGUGUUGGAGAGGAAAGUGGAAUUCCUAGUGUAGCGGUGAAAUGCGUAGAGAUUAGGAAGAACACCAGUGGCGAAGGCGACUUUCUGGACAAUAACUGACGCUGAGGCUCGAAAGCGUGGGGAGCAAACAGGAUUAGAUACCCUGGUAGUCCACGCCGUAACCGUUGGUUACUGGGUGUAGAGGUAUCGACUCCUCCUGUGCCGCCGUUAACACAAUAAGUACCCCGCCUGGGGAGUACGGUCGCAAGAUUAAA